rnacentral:rRNA from 1 species
ACUCAAAUGAAUAGACGGGGGCUCACACAAGCGGUGGAGCAUGUUGCUUAAUUCGAGGCAACGCGAAGAACCUUACCUGGGUUUGACAUGGCCGGAUUAACCCCAUGAAAGUGGGGCCACACCCGCAAGGGUGGAACGGUCACAGGUGCUGCAUGGCUGUCGUCAGCUCGUGCUGUGAAGUGUCGGGUUAAGUCCUCUAACGAGCGCAACCCCUAUCGUUAGUUGCUCGGAGCAAUCCAGUACUCUAGCGAGACUGCCGGUGUCAAACCGGAGGAAGGCGGGGAUGACGUCAAGUCCUCAUGGCCCUUACAUCCAGGGUUGCAAACGUGCUACAAUGGCGCGCACAAAGCGACGCGAGGCCGCGAGGCGGAGCAAAUCGCAAAAAUCGCGCCCCAGUUCGGAUUGCAGGCUGCAACUCGCCUGCAUGAAGUCGGAAUCGCUAGUAAUCGCGGAUCAGCUACGCCGCGGUGAAUAAGUUCCUGAGCCUUGCACACACCGCCCGU